ensembl:lncRNA
CUCUGAGGUCAACUGAAGUGUGCAAGUCUCUCUUGUACUAAGGAGUUGUGAAUGAGACUGCCAUUGCUCCGGUCCAGAACAAACCUCACUGGACACCUCAGGCAGAGGGAGACUUCCCCAUGAAUGGAGCCCCUGCACUCCAGGAGUCUUUGCUAAAACAGAGAGAGCGACCAGAAGACUACAGCCGGAACCAGCCCUUUGGCUUUCAAACUCAAUUCAACUUCAAAUAUCUUUACAAAUAACAGACUGCAAUCAUCUGAGAAAGAGAGUGAGGAAUAAGCAUCAGAGACACUAUUGAAGCCAGACUCUGGUCUGGCGGUAAGACACCCAUACACAGUGAGCCUGCCCCUGCUGUCCUCCGAUGGAGACCCCGGGUAGAGCAAGACGCUGCUGCAACGUUACAGGGGGACCCCCAGUAAAGGAGUCAUCCAGAGGGGAACACAGCGUUGCAGUGUGCGACAUGAAUGCAGUGAAAACUACUGAGCUGUCUGUCCACAGUAAGGAGAACAGGCAAAGUCCUGGACACCUAAAGACUAAAGAGGACGAGGAGGACCCCUGGGACAGGAAGGACCCCAGUAACCACACAACCAGGAAGCAUCCCUCAACCACUGGGGGAAAGAAUG